UCUUUUCUUUCUAGAUAUUAUACUAACCCUCAGCGAUUUUAGCAUCUAUGUAUUUCGUCUGGAUCCUGCUGUGUGCAUGUAUCUUGGUGAUUUCCUUCUAGGAGAGGAAGCAGAUCAAAGAUAUACUGGGAAAUUAAUUAUAUUAUGUUUCUGUUUGGGAGCUGAACAAUGUCAUCUAGUAAUGAAUUUCUUUUUAUAAUUGCACUAUGUUGUUGUCGGGAUAUGGGUAGGCCUUCUACCUUCCCAAAUGCAUCUGUCUCCAAUUAGUUUCAUC
rnacentral:lncRNA from 1 species